AGAAUCAACGCUGGCGGCGUGCCUAACACAUGCAAGUCGAACGAGAAAGUGGAGCAAUCCAUGAGUACAGUGGCGUACGGGUGAGUAACACGUGACUAACCUACCCUCGAGUGGGGAAUAACCUCGGGAAACCGGGGCUAAUACCGCAUAACAUCUUCGGAUCAAAUGCGUAAGCAGCUUGAGGAGGGGGUCGCGGCCGAUUAGCUAGUUGGCGGGGUAAUGGCCUACCAAGGCAAUGAUCGGUAGCCGGCCUGAGAGGGCGCACGGCCACACUGGAACUGAAACACGGUCCAGACUCCUACGGGAGGCAGCAGUGGGGAAUUUUGCGCAAUGGGGGGAAACCCUGACGCAGCAACGCCGCGUGGAGGAUGAAGCCCCUUGGGGUGUAAACUCCUUUCGAUCGGGACGAUUAUGACGGUACCGGAUGAAGAAGCACCGGCUAACUCUGCGCCAGCAGCCGC
rnacentral:rRNA from 1 species